UGCUUUAAUGGCCAGCACCAUGUUCAACCAAAACCAUUAAGCACGCCAGCUGUGAAGCAUGGCGGGGUAUAAAUGAUGAUUGGGGCUUGAUUUGUAGAAGUGAACACCUGACGCUCAAUUGGGGUGGAAGGGGGGAUAUUAUUCCCAGCCUUCAGCUCAAUAAAAAACAAAAUUAUUUGAGUGCUGAUUCGAAUAAAUGGAAUUAUCAAAUUCUCACUUAACCGUAUGUAACCGAAUAAAUGUGAAUCCACUUGCAACAAGAGAUUUUUAUUAUUUUUUUUAUGGUAUCUUGGGCGCCCCCUAUCGGUUUGUGUCUGUAUCAGUUGUGCAGCAACAAAACUUUAUUAGUUGGGACACAGACACGCCCGAGCAUGCUGUAUGUGAAAUGCGAGCGGGAGCCUUUCGUGUCUGACCAUCACCAUUUUUCAUGUACAGGUACAUAAUUUUGUUCUAAAUUUAUUUUGUAAACUACAUUUUAUUAGUUAGUUGGGACACAGACACGCCCGAGCAUGCUGUAUGUGAAAUGCGAGCGGGAGCCUUUCGUGUCUGACCAUCACCAUUUGUCAUGUACAGAAAAUAAACAGAAUCAAAGACAA